UCUCCGUUGGUGAACCAGCGGAGGGAUCAUUACAGGACUCGCAAGACUCCUUCACCCUGUGAACCUCACUACAAGCACGUUGCUUCGGCGGGUGUCCCGGCGGGGGUUUUCCCUCGCGGGGGCGCACAGCCCGCCGGCAGCCUACUAUACUCUGUCUCUUUGCGUUGGCGUCUCGAGAAAAAACAAACAAGUUAAAACUUUCAACAACGGAUCUCUUGGUUCUG
rnacentral:misc_RNA from 1 species